GGAGGGAAUUUGAUGUUCAUAACCAGGGAGGGAAAUAUCAUAUUCGUGGAUCACACAGAUCAUCCACUUCCUUAGCAUAUUAUGUAGGAGGGACCAUGAGCUCUCUUUCUUUUCUCUUUCUUCUUUUUUUUUCAGAUCGAGGUUACGGACACUUGUCCCUUUUAUUUCCUUGUGAUCUAUCUUUUUGAGGUUUUAGAUACUUGUCCCUUUUUAUUUCCUCGGAUUUAUUUAUGAAGAGCUCAUGCCUCCUUCAUAAUAGUGCUUCAAGAGAGUGUAUUAUGUUUUUAUUUCAUUUUUAUGAUACU
rnacentral:lncRNA from 1 species